UACGUAGGGCGCAAGCGUUGUCCGGAAUUAUUGGGCGUAAAGAGCUUGUAGGUGGCUUGUCGCGUCUGCCGUGAAAACCCGAGGCUCAACUUCGGGCGUGCGGUGGGUACGGGCAGGCUAGAGUGUGGUAGGGGAGACUGGAACUCCUGGUGUAGCGGUGAAAUGCGCAGAUAUCAGGAAGAACACCGAUGGCGAAGGCAGGUCUCUGGGCCAUUACUGACACUGAGAAGCGAAAGCAUGGGUAGCGAACAGGAUUAGAUACC
rnacentral:rRNA from 1 species